UGCAGGUUUGGAGGUUUGCAGGCCGUGAGAACAAGUGAAAAACCCUUAAUGUGAAAGCUUGACUGACUUGAUUGAGGAGCAACAAAGAGAGUUCAGGGGCUGGAGAAGAGUGGACUAAAGUCAGGGAGGCAAAGGCUGUUGGAGAUUUGACAGAUCAUUUGGUGCUUACAGAAUUAGACACUGAGUGGGUGAAAUGGGAAUCCAGUGGAGGUUUUUUAGAGAAGGAAUGGCCCAAAUUUGACUUCGAUUUUAAGAAGAUUGUCCUGACUGGUGUAUUGUAGCCAGAUUACAGAGAGGCAAAGAUGGAAGCAGGAGAUCAGCUUGCAGGCUGCUGGAGUAAUCAGAUGCAGUAAGACAAAGGAUGAUGAAGAAUGAAGGGACGGGGGAUGAAAAGGGCAAGGUGGAAAUUCAGGUGAUUGUGAAGUCAAUGGCGAUGAAUGAAAAAACAAGAAUAUGCUUUAAACUAGGAUUCAUCAUAGGGUCACAAAAUUAAAUGGCUAUAUGAGUUAGCCAGGCAAUGAAAAUCAGUGAAAUGGUCCAGAUGGAAGACGACAAUGAGGAAUGUGGCCUGGAAAUCAGAUGGCCAGAAGAGAGGUGGCAGCUCCACCUUGA
rnacentral:lncRNA from 1 species